rnacentral:ncRNA from 1 species
AACGACCAGACAGAGUAAGUCCAUGUGACCGAAAUCCGUGUCAGACAGGAAGGAGAGAUCGACCGAGCCGGUAAUGCGGCUAAAUUCGUGCGGUGAUGCAAAGGAGCGGACGCUGCUUGCAUGGGUGGUGAAUUGUGCCUCAGCCACUUUCAUGCUCCCGAACUACGCAGGUAGAUAGGCACGCUACACAAAGCCUGUACGCCGCACCAACUGAUUAAACAUGGAAG